UGCGUAGGCGGCCUGACAAGUCAGGGGUGAAAUGUUAUCGCUUAACGAUGAAAUUGCCUUUGAUACUGUUGGGCUUGAAACAGGUUGAGGUUGGCAGAAUGUGGCAUGUAGCGGUGAAAUGCAUAGAUAUGCCAUAGAAUACCGAUUGCGUAGGCAGCUGGCUGGACCUGGAUUGAGCUGAGGCACGAAAGCGUGGGAGCAAACA
rnacentral:rRNA from 1 species